CGCCUGGGGAGUACGGUCGCAAGAUUAAAACUCAAAUGAAUUGACGGGGGCCCGCACAAGCGGUGGAGCAUGUGGUUUAAUCCGAUGCAACGCGAAGAACCUUACCUACUCUUGACAUCCAGAGAACCUUUUAGAGAUAGAAGGGUGCCUUCGGGAACUCUGAGACAGGUGCUGCAUGGCUGUCGUCAGCUCGUGUUGUGAAAUGUUGGGUUAAGUCCCGCAACGAGCGCAACCCUUAUCCUUGUUUGCCAGCACUUCGGGUGGGAACUCCAGGGAGACUGCCGGUGAUAAACCGGAGGAAGGUGGGGACGACGUCAAGUCAUCAUGGCCCUUACGAGUAGGGCUACACACGUGCUACAAUGGCAUAUACAGAGGGCUGCCAACUCGCGAGAGUGAGCGAAUCCCAUAAAGUAUGUCGUAGUCCGGAUUGGAGUCUGCAACUCGACUCCAUGAAGUCGGAAUCGCUAGUAAUCGUGGAUCAGAAUGCCACGGUGAAUACGUUCCCGGGCCUUGAACACACCGCCCGUC
rnacentral:rRNA from 1 species